rnacentral:lncRNA from 1 species
CUGACUCUCUGGAUCUUUCACUGGUCCUGACAAGGGUUUGCUGUGCCAGCCUGAAGGAUGGGAGCAGGUACCACCAGGGAAAGAUAGAGAAAUUUCUGGGUUUUGGCUGAUUUGUGUAAGGAGAAAAGCCAUUUUGUUUACAUUAAGAGUUGCUCCAAAACAUGCCAAUGGAUAAAAAAGGAUCCACAGUUGUGAAAAAUCGCUGUUUGACUCAUCCAGUGAGUACCUUGCUGGAGUUGAUAAACACUGCUGCCUCCAAACAGAAAUCAUCCAGGCAUAGGAGGAGAUCUGUGCCCUUCUUCCACCCUGACUCCUGCUAGAUGCCCUCACCUCUGUACAGGCUUCUGUGCUCCCACGUGCCUUUACUGUGGUGCAAGUAAGGUUUUAUGUGGUGUGUAAACAAGGAAAUCCCUAGAAGCAAAAGAGCACUUUAGAAGUUGGGCUUGCCUGAUGGCAAAAUGAUGACAUGCAGCCACAGCACUGAUAAGGGCUGCAUGUCUGUUGUGUGUUGAGAAAUGGGUGAAACACAGCACAGGGGAGGAAGAGAUGGAAUGUCAUCAUGUGCUUUCCAUUUGCACCAACAUAAAAAAAGGGAUAGUGUUUUCUACUCUUUCCAAGAUAAUGUGAUGUAUGUGUCUGGUUCUAUUAUUUAAAAAAUAUUAAAAUUAUUUGAAAUAUGUUUCAG